AGAGUUUGAUCCUGGCUCAGGAUGAAUGCUGGCGGCGUGCCUAACACAUGCAAGUCGAGCGGCAGCGAGUUUUACACUGAAUUCUGGAAGCUUCUGAGUAGUACAGAAGAUUUAUUCAAGAGUUUUGUGUAAAAUGUCGGCGAGCGGCGGACGGCUGAGUAACGCGUAGGAAUUUGCCCCAAAGUGAGGAAUAACUGCCCGAAAGGGUAGCUAAUGCCGCAUAUGGUCUUCGGAUUAAAGCCUUCGGGCGCUUUGGGAGAAGCCUGCGUUGGAUUAGGUAGUUGGUAGGGUAAUGGCCUACCAAGCCGACGAUCCAUAGCUGGUCUGAGAGGAUGAUCAGCCAGACUGGAACUGAGACACGGUCCAGACUCCUACGGGAGGCAGCAGUGAGGAAUCUUCCACAAUGGGCGAAAGCCUGAUGGAGCAACGCCGCGUGAAGGAUGAAGGCCUUCGGGUUGUAAACUUCUUUUAUGAGUGAAGAAUAUGACGGUAACUCAUGAAUAAGCACCGGCUAACUACGUGCCAGCAGCCGCGGUCAUACGUAGGGUGCAAGCAUUAUCCGGAGUGACUGGGCGUAAAGAGUUGCGUAGGCGGUUUAAUAAGUGAAUAGUGAAACCUGGUGGCUCAACCAUACAGACUAUUAUUCAAACUGUUAAACUCGAGAAUGGUAGAGGUAACUGGAAUUUCUAGUGUAGGAGUGAAAUCCGUAGAUAUUAGAAGGAACACCGAUGGCGUAGGCAGGUUACUGGGCCAUUUCUGACGCUAAGGCACGAAAGCGUGGGGAGCGAACCGGAUUAGAUACCCGGGUAGUCCACGCCGUAAACGAUGGAUACUAGCUGUUGGAGGUAUCGACCCCUUCAGUAGCGAAGCUAACGCGUUAAGUAUCCCGCCUGUGGAGUACGGCCGCAAGGCUAAAACAUAAAGGAAUUGACGGGGACCCGCACAAGCGGUGGAUUAUGUUCUUUAAUUCGAUGAUAACCGAAGAACCUUACCAGGGCUUGACAUCCAGGGAAGGUCUGCGAAAGUAGACUGUGCCUUUUGGAACCCUGUGACAGGUGAUGCAUGGCCGUCGUCAGCUCGUGUCGUGAGAUGUUAGGUUAAGUCCUUCAACGAGCGCAACCCUUGUGAAUAGUUGUAUUUUUCUAUUCAGACUGCCCCGGUAACGGGGAGGAAGGAGGGGAUGAUGUCAGGUCAGUAUUUCCCU
rnacentral:rRNA from 2 species